rnacentral:rRNA from 1 species
CGACCUCAGUUCGGAUUGAAGGCUGAAAUUACGCCUUCCAUGAAGUCGGAAUUGCUAGUAAUGGCAGGUCAGCAUACUGCCGUGAAUACGUUCCCGGGCCUUGUACACACCGCCCGUCACACCAUGAGAGUUGGAGAUACCCGAAGCCUAUGAGCUAACUUUUAGAGGCAGUAGUCGAAGGUAGAAUCAAUGAUUGGGGUGAAGUCGUAACAAGGUAUC